UACGGAGGGUGCGAGCGUUGUCCGGAUUUACUGGGCGUAAAGGGCGCGUAGGCGGUCAGCACAAGUCAAUUGUGAAAUCUCCGAGCUUAACUCGGAAAGGUCAACUGAAACUGUGCGACUAGAGUGCGGAAGGGGGCAACUGGAAUUCUUGGUGUAGCGGUGAAAUGCGUAGAUAUCAAGAGGAACACCUGCGGCGAAGGCGGGUUGCUGGGCCGACACUGACGCUGAAGCGCGAAAGCCAGGGGAGCGAACGGG
rnacentral:rRNA from 1 species